AUUUUUACAAUUCUGUCUACUUACACUUGCAAUAAUAUAUUCUCAAAUACUCUUAUGAGUCACCCUAUAAAGCACCAAUACUCCCACUAAUGCUUCUACCAAGUGUUCACCAGCAACUGUCACUGUUUACAGUUCUUCAAUUCCCAUCUUCAACAACAUUUAUAACUCACUAUUCCAACUCAAAACUCAAAAACACCUGCUGGGUCAUACUUGCAAUCAAGUUCACGAACCUUGGUCAAAUUGAUGGAAAACUUAGCAAGGGUCUUAUCCAGUGUAUCGCAACGGAGACCGGUGCGUACUCAGGAUCUUUCGUCAUCGUCUCGAGGUAAACGACACACUGUCAAAGAAAGAGCAGUGGCGAUUCGCGUGGGCUACCGCCAGAGAACUAAGAGCGUCUGAGGCACACCUGAAUCCCAACAGCAUCGGUCACUACCUUACUACAGCGCGGAACAACCUCUAUAGUGGCGUCGUUGUGUAUAUUGUGACGCGUAUACUGGGUGACAUAAAAAAUAUAAUGAAAAAAUAGAUUGUGAUGUCCGUGAAAAAAGGCGAUAAUAAUAAUAUAACUGUCAGUGAAGAUUAAUGAGAAUUUAAUCAUACCUAUCUUGACUAAUAGAUAAUAGAGAAUGAAGACAAUUGUUUUGAUUGAAUUGGAUUUUUAGUAUGAUUAGAAUUAAAUUAUAAUAAAUAUAUAGAAUUAUAGAAACAAGAAUAUAUAUGUUUUUAAUUAUAAAACAAUAUGAAUCAUUUUAAUGGGACUAAUUCAUAUUUGGAUUAAAUGUUAUAUACAAGAUUAGAUUUUUUAAUGUUGAGAUAUGUGUAAAUGAUACGUGUAUACGAUUGAUCAAUAUGAACAACUAAUUUUUUGUGAAAAUGAAAAUGAAAAGAAGAAAAAAUUGUUUCAUUCGCAAUUGAAUUAUAUAAACAAAUACUUAUGAAUUUUAAAUAUUUGGGUUACUAUAAAUCGAUGUGAAGCUCACUAUUGAAAUGGCAGCAAUUAUGCAAAAUUUUCGACACCUUGUAUAAGCGUCGCAGGUGAGCGGACUAUGGAGCGAAACAGAGAAGUUGUUAUACUAUUAUUUCUAUGCUGUUUUCCUGAGCACCGCUUCGCUUCGUCUCACCUGCUUGCUUACUUGCUUCUCCUGCGCUCAACCUUGCCUCUCAGGGUGUUAAUAUGUAUGUAUAUUCGUAGAAAACCUUUGUAGGAUCGAUUCUAAACGUCAAAACAAAAGUUGAUAUACAAAAAUAUCGAUUAUUAUUUAUUUAUUAAGUUAUAAAUAAUUGAAGUUUCAUUUGGAUGAAGUGAGAUGGAGAUAGAACAAGAAGUUAGCAAGAUGAAGAUAGAUUUAUUCUAACCUAAACUUCAAUUAAUUAUAGUCAAUAAAUAAGAUUUGAUCUUUAAACGAUAUUUUUAUAUCAACUUUUGUAUUUGACUCGUAGACUCUUCAAAAAUAUUUUAUAAAUAUUAACAAUAUAUAUUAUUAUUUAAAAAUCUUAUUCUUGUUUUUAUUCAUAAACUUUGAUAUAUGAAUCAUUUUUUAAUCAGAUUAUUAAUAUAUAUUAAUAUUUCAAACUUAAUACUUCAAACUUUCUUUUUUGUAUACCAAAUUAAUUAAUCUAGGUACCAGAUAAUUAAUUAUUUUUUUAAGAAGAAAGAACCAAAUUUAAUCCUCAAAAUAUAAAGUUGGAUUAAAAUAAUUAUUAAUUUCUCUGCUUAACUGUAAAAUUUUAUUUUGAUCAUAUUAUUAGAAUUACAAAGGAAAAAUUUGCGAAUACCGUAAGAGAGGAAACAAUUGAGACGCCUAAAUUUCCUCCUAUUCCUUGUACCGAUAUAAGCCAUUAUUCACGAGAGCAGCUAAUUAAUUAGAAGCGGAUUAUAAGUGGGCGUGUUGUUCUCACGUUUUCAGCAAAGAUUUUCUUCACCAAGUUUCAUCCAACGAUGUUGUUAUGGAAUUAUAAUUUUUUUUUAAUUAUACGAGCUCUCUUUGAUCGAAAAAUUUGAUAGUGAAUUAUUCUCUGUUUGCAAUUCAUUCACAUAUAAACGAUUAAAAAAAAGAGAGAAAAACAAAUGAUUAUCGAUAGUAACAAUCACAAAUAAUAAAUAAUAAAUAAAUUUAACUUCGAAUUCACGCGACUUCUCGCUAACUGCUGAUCUAUAUUUUCAAAACGAAACUACACACAAAAAUCUAAACACAUUAAACAUUUUCAUGUUUUAAAAUGUUUUUUCCAUUUUCUUCAACAACAAAAACCGUUCGUUUAAAUGAAUUAAAUAAAAUUUCUUUGAAAAAAAUCUUUUUAUUUUGAACGUAUCUAUCCUAUCCAAAGAAUGUAGAAAAAAACGAUAAUCCCGGCGUAAAAAAGCAAAAAAUACAUGGACACGAAGCCGGUGAUUAAUAGUUGGCAUAUUCUUCUCACGUCCAUGUUUGCAGGAUGCUCGGGUCCCUCCAGAUUGGAUGGAUAUCUCACGCCGUGAAACAUGCGAUUUGCAUUCAACUCGGAUCCCCUGCUCGUGGCUUGUAUCAUGCGAAAUGCACCGAGAACAACGGUAUACGUGGAUUUUACCUCGAGCCUGCUGUAUCGAAUUUUUCGAUACAAUCGAUCGAAAUUGUAUAAAUUUUUACCGACCGAAGUUAUCGAGACUGGAGAAAAGGGAAAAGGUUUUUUCUUUCUCAAUAAUCGUUCAAUUAUUAAUUUUAUAUCGAAUUAAAUUUUUUUCCAAAUUAUUCAGAAAUUGUGUAAAUUUAUUUAUUCGAUGGAAAUAUUUAAAAGAAAGGAAGACCUUUUGAUAAUUUUAACUUCAGCGUGUUUUUAUAUCUAUCGAUUUAAAAUAUUUUAUUAAUCGUUUAACAAUUUUUUAAUUGUUAAAGAUAUUUCUUUUUUACUAAUUUCAACGAACGCCUAUUAUUUCUUUUGUUUAAUUCGAUUAAAAUUUUCAAUAUUAUCGUCGAUAAAAAUAUCUAUCAAUGAUCACUUCUAUUAAUAUCGUCCCUGAUCGCGUGUUUAUAUGCCCACUUAUUACGUAUUUUUCACACGUUCACUGAUACGAGACUGUAUAUGCAAUAUUUUUUCUUAUCAAACAUGAUUUCGUGUUUGAAGUUUGAUACGGAAACAAUAUCGCGCUCGCAACGUUGAUAAUACUAUUCUGGAGUUCGCAGGUUUCACGAGAGGCAUGGGCUGGUUUCAUACAGGGCUAGUAUGCCAAUGGUUUCGAUAAUCGAUGGACUUAUCCAAGCAUGUGUUACAUACGCAAGCUGGAAGCUGUUUCUGGCAGGCAUGCCGAUAAUGUAGUUUUAAUUACGAGAGAUACUACGUACACGUGAAAUUCAAUAAUAUUUCAAAUAGGAAGAAUGAUAUUGCCUUGAAACAAAUUUUACUCACAAUGCAAGUACGAGAAAUACAAAUUAUUUACUAUAAACAAACUCUAUGAUUAUAAAGGAACGAUAAUCGGAUGUUAUGUUAAAUUUUGGAGGAGAAAUCAAAUAAGACUUGAAAAUUAGAUUUGUGUGACGGUGGUGAAGAGUAAAUGAGAGUACUUCAAGAUAAGUAGCAUUAAAUAACUAUUUAUAAUUUUAUAAAUAAAUUAUUAAUAAACAUAUCAAACAAUGUCAAUUUCAGCAAACGAGGCUGCGUAUAUAGCCAGGAACAGAAGAAUAUAGCGCAUAUUACACGCAAAUGUACACACAAAACGCAUAAACGUACGAAGGCGGUCGCGAAAGCGAAAUGUUACUCGCUCCUACGAUAAUUAGUAACUCUAUUAGUUAUGGCUGUGCCUUCUAACCAGCCUUAGAAUACAAAUGCGAACGAGCCUUCCGAUCCAGUGUUCAGUUACACCUUAUAUCUCUACGCUUCGUUCCACUGAUUAAUGUACACACCGUGGCAAAUCGUACCUUAUGAUUCAUGAAAUCGAUGAAAAUUUGGCGGAUGACAUACCGUAUCCGAUUUUUGAUUUAUAUACCUGCGAUUGUUCGUCGAACGCCGAUGGCAAUUGCGAGAAAAACGCACAGUGUUGUUCUUAGAAACGGAUACUCGAUUAUGGGGAUUGAAUUGUUUCAUGGAUCGUUUGCUUCGCCAAGAUUUCAUCGUUACUUUCGUUUGUUUCUUUGUUAACAAGCUUGAUGUGCAUCCUGGGAUGCAUUUAAAUGGAUAAGCAGUAAGAUUGCUUUUAUGCAAUGUUAUGGAGGUAAUGAGGACUGGUGAAAAUGAUAAUUUUUUGCUUUAAUUUGAAAACAAGUGUAAUUGGAAUAAUUUUAUUUCAAAUAAUUAGAUAUAGUGGAGAAAAUUUAACGAUCUAUAUAUAGUGGAAUUUCUUGUUGACGUUUGUGGAAAUGCUAUGCAACGUGUGAAUUUCUAUAUUGUUUUUCUAGAAAUAAUUAUUAUGAAAUAAUAUGUACGUAUAAAAUUUGUAUAGAUUAAUUACCAAUCUUUGAUAUAGUAAGUGAUUUGUAAUGUAAAUUAUUCUCUUAUAAAUAAUUAAUUUAAACUUUAUUUUUAAAAUUAAAUCGAAUAAAUUAAAUAAAUGGGAA